AGCCUCGUACCGUGGAGGAAGAAUGUAAUGGCGGCUGUCGCCGUUAAAGUGUUUUUGGAUCAUUUCAGUUAGGGCGAGAAUGCUGAAAAAAAGGCUGAGCAAAACCAGGAGGUAACCCAGAAUACCGUGCAUGGUUCACUGUGCUCAACGGAACUGGAUUGUACUGGAUUAGGAAUGCUACAGAAUAGUGGCAUUCACCUUUGUACCGUAGAGGAAGAUGGUUAUUAUCAUGGUGAAAUCGAAUAACAUAGUCCAGGCAAACUGCUGGAAAAAGUACCAGAAUAAAUACAAAGGAUGAUAUUCGUGCAGGACAUUAAGUAAGGUGUCCGAGAAACGAGUAUAUUUUUCUGGAAAUCCCAGUUGAGGAAUUCCUCGAGAUCCACAACGAUGCUGAUCAUCACAUACGUCCUGUAGUGUAUUAGAAAAAGCCUGCAUAACUCGGAAUGCUACGUAAUAGUGGAUCAAUGUGGUAAACCCUCAAGGUCAAACAAUAAGUUAAAAUUGUGCUAAUCUUGUUUGAGCAAUUCACCUCUUGAAGUGUGAUACAUUAUACAUGAGGUUUCC